AACGAACGCUGGCGGCAGGCUUAACACAUGCAAGUCGAACGCCCCGCAAGGGGAGUGGCAGACGGGUGAGUAACGCGUGGGAAUCUACCCAUCCCUACGGAACAACUCCGGGAAACUGGAGCUAAUACCGUAUACGCCCUACGGGGGAAAGAUUUAUCGGGGAUGGAUGAGCCCGCGUUGGAUUAGCUAGUUGGUGGGGUAAAGGCCUACCAAGGCGACGAUCCAUAGCUGGUCUGAGAGGAUGAUCAGCCACAUUGGGACUGAGACACGGCCCAAACUCCUACGGGAGGCAGCAGGGGGGAAUAUUGGACAAUGGGCGCGAGCCUGAUCCAGCCAUGCCGCGUGAGUGAUGAAGGUCUUAGGAUUGUAAAGCUCUUUCACCGAUGAAGAUAAUGACGGUAGUCGGAGAAGAAGCCCCGGCUAACUUCGUGCCAGCAGCCGCCGUAA
rnacentral:rRNA from 1 species